AGGGAAUUUUCCACAAUGGACGAAAGUCUGAUGGAGCAACGCCGCGUGAACGAUGAAGGUCUUCGGAUUGUAAAGUUCUGUUGUCAGGGACGAACAAGUACCGUUUGAACAAGGCGGUACCUUGACGGUACCUGACGAGAAAGCCACGGCUAACUACGUGCCAGCAGCCGCGGUAAUACGUAGGUGGCAAGCGUUGUCCGGAAUUAUUGGGCGUAAAGCGCGCGCAGGCGGCUAUGUAAGUCUGGUGUCAAAGCCCGGGGCUCAACCCCGGUACGCAUCGGAAACUGUGUAGCUUGAGUGCAGAAGAGGAAAGCGGUAUUCCACGUGUAGCGGUGAAAUGCGUAGAUAUGUGGAGGAACACCAGUGGCGAAGGCGGCUUUCUGGUCUGUAACUGACGCUGAGGCGCGAAAGCGUGGGGAGCAAAC
rnacentral:rRNA from 1 species